CUCCAGAUGUUGCUGAACUACAACUCCCAUUCAUGGAAUCAUGGGAGUUGUAGUUCAGCAACAUCUGGAG